UGCUGCUGCUUCUCCACACCCUGAGGUCAGGAGAGGUCAGCAGUGGACCAUGUGCCUACACGUGAUGGAAUAAGGUCCUAGAAUAAAGGCUGCCUGAGAUUUGUCCUGCUGGGCAGGUCAGUUUUCCUUUUUUGGGGUGGUAAACUUCAUAUGCAAGGAGACAGGAAAUUUCAGAGGGAAACUGGGAUAAUUAAAAUAAUCUUGUUUGGCCCAUUGCCAAUUCUUUCAUCUCAGAAAACAUAGCUGUGGAGACAGGCACAGAUCUUGUAAACUAGUCUAGUCUGAAUAGGUCUCAUCUAACAUUUUGGAACAUUGAACCUUAGUGAGCAUCUAACAUGCAAAGGCAUUUCUGUGGGACAAUUGGAAUACUUUUGCUUUAUUGGGCGUUCCUUGAGAUUAAGGCUGAAGAAAGUGGAUCUUCAGGUGAGUGUGGUAUUUCCUUAUGUAGAUUGCAUCACGAAACCAUUUCAGAAGAAGAUAUUUUUAUGAGCAAGACUUGUAUAAAUUACAAAGAAAAAAAAAAGCCUGGAAAAGCUGAAAUAGAGAUUUAAGUACUGCACAAGCUGGAUGGAAUUAAAGCUACUCUUGUUUUUCAGUUUCUAAAUCUUGAAGCUAUAAUAUUUUCUCUUCCUGUGCUUAAUCGAGAGUGUUUGUAACAAACCACCUUGUCUGCAUGCCAAGAGAUUGCCACAGAAAGAAACAAAUUGCUGCUGAUGACAGAGGAAAAGAGUCUUCAGAAAGUCCCUUUCAGAAAGCUUGUGACGAGAUGAUGUGAGGGAUGUGGCAGUCUUACGGUGGAAGCAAGAUAAUUGAUUUGAGUUUAUGACACUGCAACUGGUUACAAGAAGCAGUCUGCUCUGUGCAAGAGCAGAGCAGGUCUGUGCACUUCUGCUGGGGUGGAAGUUCUCUGGCUUUCAGUGUUUGCUCAGUGAAUUCAAUGUCAACAUACACAGACAGCAGAUCUCAGAGGAGUCAGAGGCCCAUUCCCAGAAGAGUAACAAUCCAAAGUUUAUACUUCCAGUGAGAUGCUGUCUGAGAAGUGCUGGAAAAAGAAAGGUUGGUCAAAGGCAGGUGUUGUGCCCAGGUGGAAGCCCAACAGCUGCAUUCCUGAUGUAUUGCCUGGCAUCCACCUAGAUGGCUUUCUAGGAUAUGUUCCCAAGAGCUCUGCAAGGAGCCCAGCAGCCAGCUACAGUGUGGGCAGGAAGAGAGAGAGAGACACUGCAUCUUCUUGAGAGACACCAUGACUUACCAAUGCUGUGUCAAAGCUUUUCCUUCAACUAAGGAGUCAGCAGCAGAAGAGGAGCAGUGAAUUCCAACACCCAGCAACAUGUACAAGGUACUGACAAAGGCCCUGAAGAUUCACACCUCAGGAGAGUAGAAAUUACUGUAAGAAGUUUUUUCAGUUGAGUAGACAUUAACACUGCCCUAACUGCAAGAAAAAGGCAGUCCAGAUGUAUUUAAUGUUAACAUUAAUAUAUCUGAGGAUAAUUCUUAUCUAAUGAGCACCCAGAUUAUUUUCUUUCCUUGGUUAGUGUUUAGGUAGUCUAACUUCCUUUUAGGAUGUUGAGUAUCUUUUCUUGUUCAGUGGAGUCAAUAGAAACUUCUUGGACAUUUGUCUGUUCUUAGGGUUUCCUUCUUUAGUGUGCUCUGUGCAUUUUAAUUGUUCCAAUAAUCUCUGGUUAAAAAAGCAGGUUUUUCUAAAAUGCUGAUAAAAUGAAUACACAAUAUUUUUACAAUUAAAAAGAAAUUAUUUUCCUGACAAUGUUUUAGUGCACCGUGUUCUUUCAUUCACUGCUUAGCUCAUCUUUAAGGAAAUAUCCUUAACUUCAUUUGGUUUACUUCCAAGUAAGAAAAAGUGCACCAAACUACUGCUUAAGGAUCUGAUUUGUUUGAAAUGCCUGACUGAGCAGAGUGUGCAGAAGAGGGAUUAUCCCCCUUCAGAACUGACCUGGAAGGUUGCUACAAGCACAGAGCCCACAGAGUGAAGUCCUGGAGCUGUCCUUGGACUAUUUGCUGUAUUUUCUCAUCAGGAGUGAGAGACAGAGCUUUACUUUUCAGUUUCAAAAUUGAAGAUUAAUAUCAUUGAUAAGAAGAAAAAAAGUGAAGACAUUAUCUUCUGUUCUUGUAGAAGAAUCCUUUAUCCCUACCUCCAAAUCAAGUCUAAAAUAUACUUAAGGUGAAAAAAAAAAAAAGAGAGGAAGGAAAAUCAAAAGAAACCAGA